UACGAAGGGGGCUAGCGUUGCUCGGAAUCACUGGGCGUAAAGCGCACGUAGGCGGAUUUUAAGUCAGGGGUGAAAUCCUGGAGCUCAACUCCAGAACUGCCUUUGAUACUGGGAAUCUCGAGUCCGGGAGAGGUGAGUGGAACUGCGAGUGUAGAGGUGAAAUUCGUAGAUAUUCGCAAGAACACCAGUGGCGAAGGCGGCAUC
rnacentral:rRNA from 1 species